CAGAAGUGCACAGUUUGAGAAAGGCUUUAAAUAAUGCAAAAACUGAUUUGCAAAGUAAACAAGAAGAACUUGACCAACACAUCAAAGUUGAUG